GCAGUUUAGAAAGUGAAGAGGAAAAACGCCGGCGCACCCACACACGCACUCACACACACUCAAACUGCGUUCUCUCUUCUUUUCCUCUCUUUGGCGCCUCCUCCUAUCUGUAUCCUCUCCGGAGCCCAACCACGUUGGGCAUCGGUUGCUUUGGUAGGUGCUGGAGGCAACGUGGCUACAGUUCGUGACAAUUGGGAGAGACUGGUUCGAGCGACGUUGAAGAGGGAGCAGCUGAGAACCGCCGGCCAUGAUCAUGGGACCAAAACCCCAAAUCCUCAAUCAACUGUGUCGUGCAAAGGCCAGAAAGCGUUGAUCUGUUCCUACUAGUCAACUUCUCUCCCCUCUCAGUCACAGACAGAUCUCUCUCCCUCUACUUCUCCGGUGAUCUUAAACUCUUCAAUAAUGCCAGAGUACGCCACCGAGUUGAAGUCUCAGAAUGUGACAGUUUUGGCGAAGGUGGAUGCAACGGUGGAGAAUGAAUUGGCACAUGAGUGCUAUAUUCAGGGAUUCCCCAAAGCUUUAUACUGGUCAAAGAACCAUGUCAUAUGAUGCUUUGCAAGGAAGCCCUGUCACAGCUCAGUUGAUCCCAGCCCUUGGUGUCAUUACCAUCUUCAGAAGCUUACCAUCUGGGUCAUCUGGUUCCGUUCAUGUUUACAAAGUAUUUGCAAGAUGCCUUUAAGGUUCCUCUUAUUAUACAACUCACAGAUGAUGAGAAGUUCUUGUGAAAAAAUCUCAGCAAAGAGGAGAGCCAAAGAGUUGCACGAGAAAAUGCUAAGGAUAUUAUUGCUACAGUUUUGAUAUUGCAAGACUUUCAUUUCUUCUGAUUUUGAUUUUGUUGGCGGGUGAGUGAGACAGGAAUGUAGCUUUGGCCUGAUGAUAUAUUUUCAAGUAUGCUUUCACAAAUUUAAGAUGUUUUAUCCAAUUUAAUAUUACCUAUGGUUUUAGGAAUUUCAUUGGAUAUGAAUCUAUAUGAAUUAUGGAAUCUUGCUGCCAUUGAGUAACUGAUUUUGACCAAAAAAUUGACAAUGCUUAAAUGAUAUUGAAUCUUCUGGGAGCAUCUUGGAAAUUGAAAUGAAAACGAAGACUUUUGCACUUUUCUCAUCAUUUAUAGUUUUUGACAUCUCAAGUGCAAUUUUGCGGUCAGUUGAUCUUUAUAGAAUGUGUGAAGGUGAAAAUCAUUGGUGUAGGAAAUCCAUUUGCACUUUAUAGAUGUUCAAUGCUUACUCCCCUUCUUCCUGUGGUUGUCUUUUCAAGCCUCUGAAAGGUUUCGUUUAGCUGUAAUUAUCUUUGUGUUGCCUUUUGAUCUGGUUGUUGGUAUUCUUCAUUUCAAGUUGUCCACUUGCUAAUUUUGAUGUAAAAGUUUUUCCAUAUCAGCAGAAUUUCCACCACAAUCUGAUGUUUCUUGAUUUGUCUGGAACACUGAACUUAAUGUGUACUAGGGCGCGCGCGUGUGGAUGUCUUUGUUGAGGCAGAAAAUGUGGUCAAAAAGCAAUUUGCAUGCUGUUCCGUCAUUUCCCAGUUCAAUUCCUCACCUUUUUUCUGGCAAAGAGAAUCUCCGUUGCUUGAUUCCUUGUGCAAUUGACCAGGUGUGGCAAUAUCGAUUUGGCAAAGUGGACGAACUGCAAUAUUUGCAAUACAAAUAAGCCAUGUCACAGUGUGAGGGUGUUGUAAGGUAUUAUCUAUAAUUCUUUUGGUAUUUUCGUACUGCUAGCUGACAUCAGGAAACAGAAUCUGUGCUUGUGAGGUUAGUGAAGUUCUGAUUCGAUAUUCUCUUUGUACUGUAUAUUAUAUACUGUUUUCUAAUCAGUAAAAAUAAAUAUGGGCUUUGUUUA